AUACAGAGGGUGCAAGCGUUAUUCGGAAUUACUGGGCGUAAAGCGCGCGUAGGCGGAUGAUUAAGUCAGUUGAGAAAGCCCUGGGCUCAACCUAGGAACUGCAUCUGAUACUGGUCAUCUAGAGUUUAAGAGAGGGAAGUGGAAUUCCAGGUGUAGCGGUGAAAUGCGUAGAUAUCUGGAGGAACAUCAGUGGCGAAGGCGACUUCCUGGCUUAGAACUGACGCUGAGGUGCGAAAGCGUGGGUAGCGAACGGGAUUAGAAACCCUAGUAGUCC
rnacentral:rRNA from 1 species